rnacentral:rRNA from 1 species
AACGAACGCUGGCGGCAUGCCUAACACAUGCAAGUCGAACGGGUGUAGCAAUACAUCAGUGGCGCACGGGAUAGUAACGCGUGGGAAUCUGCCUCGUAGUUCGGAAUAACACCGGGAAACUGGUGCUAAUACCGAAUACGCCCUUCGGGGGAAAGUUUUUCGCUAUGAGAGGAGCCCGCGUUGGAUUAGCUAGUUGGUGAGGUAACGGCUCACCAAGGCGACGAUCCAUAGCUGGUCCGAGAGGACGAUCAGCAUCACUGGGACUGAGACACGGCCCAGACUCCUACGGGAGGCAGCAGUGGGGAAUAUUGGACAAUGGAGGAAACCCUGAUCCAGCAAUGCCGCGUGAGUGAUGAAGGUCUUCGGAUUGUAAAGCUCUUUUGGCAGGGACGAUGAUGACGGUACCUGCAGAAUAAGCUCCGGCUAACUUCGUGCCAGCAGCCGCAGUAACAC